AAUCAUUUCCUGGUUUCCAUUGGAUCUUUUCUUAUCCUUAGAGUUGCACUUGUAUUCCUGCAAUUCUCUUUCAAUGUUCUAAGACAAGCAUGAACAGUAAGUGAACCCUGACAACAGGACUGAUAUAUUAGCUUCUCUGUCAGGAACCUCUGUUGUGUUAACAGUAGAAGCAAUUGUGCUUCUUUAAUAUCUGGAGGGAAAAAAAACGGCUGGUGUAAGUUAUCCUGAAAUCCUGAGGAAGUGAAACCGCCCCUCGGUCUCCAUUUUAGUCCCACAGCUCACAGCAACCUUCAGAUCAUCGAGAGGAGACCUGUGAAGAUUAUCUGUAGGCCAUGCUGUGCCCUGUUCUGAAAGGACACAGGCCACAGCGCCCUCACCUGGCAGGACAUGAAAAAAUGCCUGCAGAACUGGAGGACAAGCAGAAACAGGUGCUGCAGAAGAGUGAGCAUAAAAUACAACCAAAGGAGACGGAGGAGGAAGACAUGAUGAGACACAGACUUCAGAGUAUGCAUAAGGAUCGUCCUAGUAUGAAGGAUUCAACAGGGGAUUCUGGUGAUCUGAGGAACACAGAGGCUCUCAACCAAAACACUGGCACUAGCAAGAAGAAUGAUUCUCAUUGUUGAUAACAGAUUGGGCCACAUCUGGGCUUUUUAAUGAUAAUUGAACUUAUUAUUGUAAGAAGUGAUGCAGGUGAAACUCACUUCAGCAAAACAGCCACUGCUCAGCUUCAACAAGCAUAGAAUACACUAUCUCAAUAUACAGUGGUGUACAAAAGUUCGAGCGCCCUGUUCAAAGUCCAUGUUUCUGUUGAUUUUCUAGAAGAAACAUUUUCAGGCACAGUUUUACUGUUUAUUUGAAUUUAAUAUAUUGUGGGAAAAUAAAUCAUAAAAUGUGGCCUGUGCAAAAAUUAUGCCACAUCAGCAAAUGAACAGAAAGUGUGCUCUAAAAUUAACAGAAAAUAAUUUAAUAUUUAUGUUCCUUGUGGAGGCUUAUUGUCUGUUGAGGGACUUUUCAUAGGAUGUGGAUUUCAGGAUAGCUGUACAUGGUUAACAAUUUAAUCUGCUCUGAAUCUUUCCAUCAUAGUGAGCUCACAUAGUGGUAUACAUAUAGGUAGUGUUCUUUUUUGUGAAAUUUCUUGAAAUUCCUUGUGAAACAAUUGUUCAGCUUAUACUUUCUUUUGUAUGACAGCUGGAUAUGCUCUUAUUGCGUGAGUAGGGGAGCAGGGAAAAAUUCGUCAUUUUGUUAUUAUUUUUCUUAAAGUUACUCAGGUUACUCAUUUUAGUCUGAGUGUCAUAACAUGGUUUUGGUGGUUAACCAAAAACACUGGGCGUUUGCACUGGGAGGUGAAUUUGAUUGUUUCAUUAUUUUCACUUUAAAUUCUGUUUAUGCAGUAAAUAAAUGAGUAGCACUGAAUUAAGGGUUGCAAAUUAAUUGAUAAUUAUAUGCUAAUAUAUAAUUAAAUACUCAUUAUUGACAUUAGUUACUGAUUAAGUACUUGGUAAUUAG